UACAGAGGGGGCAAGCGUUGUUCGGAAUUACUGGGCGUAAAGGGCGCGUAGGCGGCCUGUUAAGUCGAACGUGAAAUCCCCGGGCUCAACCCGGGAACUGCGUCCGAUACUGGCAGGCUUGAAUCCGGGAGAGGGACGCGGAAUUCCAGGUGUAGCGGUGAAAUGCGUAGAUAUCUGGAGGAACACCGGUGGCGAAGGCGGCAUCCUGGACCGGCAUUGACGCUGAGGCGCGAAAGCGUGGGGAGCGAACAGG
rnacentral:rRNA from 1 species